rnacentral:rRNA from 1 species
GAUGAACGCUGGCGGCGUGCCUAAUACAUGCAAGUAGAACGCUGAAGGAGGAGCUUGCUCUUCUGGAUGAGUUGCGAACGGGUGAGUAACGCGUAGGUAACCUGCCUGGUAGCGGGGGAUAACUAUUGGAAACGAUAGCUAAUACCGCAUGACAACAGUUAUUGCAUGAUAACUGUUUAAAAGGGGCAACUGCUCCACUACCAGAUGGACCUGCGUUGUAUUAGCUAGUUGGUGAGGUAACGGCUCACCAAGGCGACGAUACAUAGCCGACCUGAGAGGGGGAUCGGCCACACUGGGACUGAGACACGGCCCAGACUCCUACGGGAGGCAGCAGUAGGGAAUCUUCGGCAAUGGACGGAAGUCUGACCGAGCAACGCCGCGUGAGUGAAGAAGGGUUUCGGAUCGUAAAGCUCUGUUGUAAGAGAAGAACGAGUGUGAGAGUGGAAAGUUCACACUGUGACGGUAUCUUACCAGAAAGGGACGGCUAACUACGUG